AGAACAAGAAAUAUGAGAGUUUUCAUUUAUGGUGAUUAUGAGUUCCUUUGUGCUAUUUAUGGAUUGACUGGAGCAAAUGGUCGUCACUGCUGCUUAUUUUACAACAUAACAUCAAAAGAAUUACAAGUAUCAUUGGCAACAAGAGGAAAUUAUGAAAAACGAACACUACUCACUUUGAAAUUUGAUUACGAUAAUUUCAAGCUGCUGGUGGAAAUAUAAAAGAUGCGAAACACUUUAACAAUGUUAUCGAUGAAGUUAUGUUUAAUGUUCCCAUAGAGCAAGUUGCAUUACCAGCUUUACAUAUUUCGUUGGGGUCGUAUCUUAAAUUCUUCAUUAUGCUCGAAGAUCGUUGUCAUCUUUUGGACGUGAAAAUUGCAGCAGCUAUGGCAGUAAAUAACAGGAAGUUAGAUCAAAAUGGUUUGAUGCAUAUGUUACAACACAGUCCAAGAUAAGAGACUCCAAUAUCUUGCAGGCGACUACGAAAACAAAAUAAAUUUGGUUUACGAAGCAAUAAAUUCAAAUAUUUUAAAAAAUCCUGAUCAAGAGGUAGAAAUCAAUGAAGUUUUUUAACCUUGGUUGGUCCAUUUAAAAACCAAAUUAAAAGAAAAGGUAAUUAUGUUUGUUUUUAUUAGUUAUAGUCAUUUAUAUUGCACUACUAAAAAUUAUAUGUAUAUUAUCUAUUUAGUUGUCACAAAUUGAGGAGCUAAACAAAAAACGUAAACCAUACCUAAAGAAGUUUACCGAAUGGGUUUCGUUGACACAGAUAUUCACACAGAUGCUAUUCAAAUAGCAACACAGUUCAAACACCUUUUUCUCAAAUAUGCACUGUGCUAUAACUUGAUGAAUUCGUGUGAUUUAUUUAGUGAUGAAAACAUGGAUGAAUUGGGUAAGGGGCCGUCCGACAAACGACGUUUAUACUUUUUAACCGGUUUACGCCUCUUGGUUUGGUAAAAGAUUUUUCUUAAAGCUGUUUAUAACAUAAGAAAGCUCCAUAUUGAUACUGGCACUGUUACUGUAUAUGUAUACUACGUCUUGCUAACCAGAUUAUAAA